rnacentral:rRNA from 1 species
GAUGAACGCUAGCGGCAGGCUUAACACAUGCAAGUCGAGGGGUAUAGUUCUUCGGAGCUAGAGACCGGCGCACGGGUGCGUAACGCGUAUGCAAUCUACCUUUUGCAGAGGGAUAGCCCAGAGAAAUUUGGAUUAAUACCUCAUAGUAUGUGAGAAUGGCAUCAUUUUCACAUUAAAGUCACAACGGCAAAAGAUGAGCAUGCGUCCCAUUAGCUUGUUGGUAAGGUAACGGCUUACCAAGGCAACGAUGGAUAGGGGUCCUGAGAGGGAGAUCCCCCACACUGGUACUGAGACACGGACCAGACUCCUACGGGAGGCAGCAGUGAGGAAUAUUGGACAAUGGGCGCAAGCCGGAUCCAGCCAUGCCGCGUGCAGGAUGACGGUCCUAUGGAUUGUAAACUGCUUUUGUACAGGAAGAAACACUGGUUCGUGAACCAGCUUGACGGUACUGUAGGAAUAAGGAUCGGCUAACUCCGUGCCAGCAGCCGCCGUAAAAC